UGUAUUUGUUACUCUGUGGUAACGCCCUAAAUAAUAUAUCGAAUAUUGUCUAAAGUUUCGUCAAUUGAAAUUUUACCUUUCACUCUUUCAGCAUGCUGUUCUGCAUUUCUAGCAUGGUUCUAGCUUGGGACACAGCUUGGGAUCCAAAUUAAUACAUUUCCAUGAAAGUCUUCACAGCAGUUUUAUAUAUUGCCGUUACGACGAAUUGAUUCUCUAAGAUGUUGAAGGACUUGGAAGCCCUCGUCAGAACAAGUUCUUUGUCGCUCUCUUCUUUUUUGGACAUCUCACUGUUUGCUAAGAUAAUAUAUUCAAAAUCUAUUUUUUUUAAAGAAAAUCCAAUAUAUUUUAACUAAUGUUUGUAUAUUCCUUGUCAGAUCCUACUUUUGCUGCCAUCUGUUCUGUGGACAAGAAAUUGCUACCACUCAAGGGGUUAUUGUGAACAUCACUUGGGUUGUAAUUUAAGAUGAUCUAUGAUUGAUUAGAGGUUUGUCCCUCACUGAUUUUAAAUCAGGUUAACCCCUCGGCACUGUGCCAUAUCCAUUGGGGGAAAAUGAAAAUAUAAAUAGUUGGUUUUUCCUGGAGUCUGUGGCGCCGGUGUUAUCCUGGAGUCUAUGUUGCCGGUGUGCGGUGUUAUCCUGGAAAGCUUUGGUUGUUCUGUCAAAUAUUUUUAUGCUUGUUUGUUAUAAGUGUAUUCUCCUCGUCAGAUCAAAUAUUUUGCUGCCUUCUGUUUUGUGGCCCUGCUACUCCAAACUGGCCUCAUACUCUUCUCUCUUCUUCCUUGUCCAGGUAAUCUCCCUGGGCAUAGUCUAUCGAGGCAGAGUUUCACCGUGUCUUGAUUGUGAUUGGUUGGAUUUUGCAAGGGUAAAGUUGGUAAAGUAUAUCAAAAUUUAUAUAAACAACUACACAGGGUUUGGUGAUAUAAAUAAUAUUGAACCAUGAUAUACAAUUUUAGAAAUGGCCAAAAAU